UGUAAGACUGGGAUAACUCCGGGAAACCGGGGCUAAUACCGGAUGCUUGAUUGAACCGCAUGGUUCAAUCAUAAAAGGUGGCUUUUAGCUACCACUUACAGAUGGACCCGCGGCGCAUUAGCUAGUUGGUGAGGUAACGGCUCACCAAGGCGACGAUGCGUAGCCGACCUGAGAGGGUGAUCGGCCACACUGGGACUGAGACACGGCCCAGACUCCUACGGGAGGCAGCAGUAGGGAAUCUUCCGCAAUGGACGAAAGUCUGACGGAGCAACGCCGCGUGAGUGAUGAAGGUUUUCGGAUCGUAAAACUCUGUUGUUAGGGAAAAACAAGUACCGUUCAAAUAGGGCGGC
rnacentral:rRNA from 1 species